UACGUAGGGUCCGAGCGUUAUCCGGAAUUAUUGGGCGUAAAGGGCUCGUAGGCGGUUUGUUGCGUCGGGAGUGAAAACCCAGGGCUUAACUCUGGGCUUGCUUUCGAUACGGGCAGACUUGAGGUAUUCAGGGGAGAACGGAAUUCCUGGUGUAGCGGUGAAAUGCGCAGAUAUCAGGAGGAACACCGGUGGCGAAGGCGGUUCUCUGGGAAUUACCUGACGCUGAGGAGCGAAAGUGUGGGGAGCGAACAGGAUUAGAUACCCUGGUAGUCCACACCGUAAACGUUGGGCGCUAGGUGUGGGACACAUUCCACGUGUUCCGUGCCGCAGCUAACGCAUUAAGCGCCCCGCCUGGGGAGUACGGCCGCAAGGCUAAA
rnacentral:rRNA from 1 species